UGGCGAACGGGUGAGUAACACGUGGGAACGUACCAUCUGCAGGGGGAUAACUGACCGAAAGGACAGCUAAUACCGCAUAAGUCCGGAAGGAGAAAGGUGCAAUAGCAUCGGCAGAAGAGCGGCCCGCGGUCCAUCAGCUAGUUGGUGAGGUAAGGGCUUACCAAGGCGACGACGGAUAGCCGGCGUGAGAGCGUGGCCGGCCACAAGGACACUGAGAUACGGGUCCUACUCCUACGGGAGGCAGCAGUGCGGAAUUUUAGAUAAUGGAGGGAACUCUGAUCUAGCGACGCCGCGUGCAGGAAGAAGGUCUUCGGAUUGUAAACUGCUGUGGUAAGGGAAAAAUGCUAUGUAGAGUGGAAAGCUACAUAGAGGGAUGGUACCUUACUAGAAAGCCCCGGCUAACUACGUGCCAGCAGCCGCGGUAAUACGUAGGGGGCGAGCGUUACCCGGAAUCACUGGGCGUAAAGGGAGCGUAGGUGGCCUAACAUGUCAACUG
rnacentral:rRNA from 1 species